rnacentral:rRNA from 1 species
GAUGAACGCUGGCGGCGUGCCUAAUACAUGCAAGUCGAGCGGUAAGGCCUCUUCGGAGGUACACGAGCGGCGGACGGCUGAGUAACGCGUAGGAAUGUACCCCAAAGUGAGGGAUAAGCACCAGAAAUGGUGUCUAAUACCGCAUGUGAUCCACGGAUUAAAGCUUUAUGCGCUUUGGGAACAGCCUGCGCCCGAUUAGCUAGUUGGUAGUGUAAUGGACUACCAAGGCGAUGAUCGGUAGCUGGUCUGAGAGGAUGAUCAGCCAGACUGGGACUGAGACACGGCCCAGACUCCUACGGGAGGCAGCAGUAGGGAAUUUUCCACAAUGGGGGCAACCCUGAUGGAGCAACGCCGCGUGCAGGAUGAAUGCCUUCGGGUUGUAAACUGCUUUUAUCUGUGACGAUUAUGACGGUAGCAGAUGAAUAAGGACCUGCUAACUACGUGCCAGCCGCCGCGGUAA